GGAAAGGAAGCUAAAUUUGCUAUGAUGAGUAAACAAGAUGCAACAAUGAAAAAUAGUUAAAAUUGUUGUGCUUCAUCAAUACUUUUUUCUUUUGAAAUAUUAGCCUGUUCUGGGUGCAAGAAAUGUCUUCCUAGUGUUGUUGACAUGAACUGGCAACUUCUAUUCCAAAUAGUAAAAUUGUCUAUUAUCUUAGGCUUACAAGUCGUGCACUUGCAUAUUAAUUACAUGAGCUAUGUAUGUAUGGUGACAUAAUGUUUGUUUUUUCAGUCAUAUCAAUUCUCAAGUAUGAGGAUUGCCAAGGAAGAAUCAUCAAGCAGUGCUGCACAGGCAAGUGAUUAACACUUCAUUAUAACUUGGAUCCAUGAGACUCUCCUAUCCCCUAUUAUCCUUCUCAAUGGCUGGAGUGUGAAUAUCUUUUAUUUAUUAACUUGAACAGGCAAUAAGCUUGAUAUCAGCAGUGAAGGAAUUGCAAGAGGUUACUGCUAU
rnacentral:lncRNA from 1 species